rnacentral:rRNA from 1 species
CUACGGGAGGCAGCAGUGGGGAAUAUUGGACAAUGGGGGCAACCCUGAUCCAGCAACGCCGCGUGGAGGAUGACACUUUUCGGAGCGUAAACUCCUUUUAUAUAGGAAGAAGAUGACGGUACUAUAUGAAUAAGCGCCGGCUAACUCCGUGCCAGCAGCCGCGGUAAUACGGAGGGCGCAAGCGUUACUCGGAAUCACUGGGCGUAAAGAGCGUGUAGGCGGAUUAAAAAGUCAGAGGUGAAAUCCUAUAGCUUAACUAUAGAACUGCUUCUGAAACUCUUAAUCUAGAAUAUGGGAGAGGUAGAUGGAAUUUCUGGUGUAGGGGUAAAAUCCGUAGAGAUCAGAAGGAAUACCGAUUGCGAAGGCGAUCUACUAGAGCAUUAUUGACGCUGAGACGCGAAAGCGUGGGGAGCAAACAGGAUUAGAUACCCGCGUAGUC